AAAACUUUCAACAACGGAUCUCUUGGCUCUCGCAUCGAUGAAGAACGCAGCGAAAUGCGAUAAGUAAUGUGAAUUGCAGAAUUCAGUGAAUCAUCGAAUCUUUGAACGCACAUUGCGCCCUUUGGCAUUCCUUAGGGCAUGCCUGUUCGAGUGUCACUAGAAACCUCCUCAUGGAUCCCGUGGUAUUGGUGGAAGCUCUCUGUAGCCCUGUGGGCUGCGUCACU
rnacentral:rRNA from 1 species